GCGUGCGUCUGCCCUGCGGGCAGGAGAAGAGUCCGGAAAUGGAAAUGGGGAAAGAGAAGGGGGUUGUGAGGACCAUGCUGCGAGGGAAUAGUGAAGGGGAGUGAAUCAUUUCCCCUACCACGACCUUGCGAAGCUUUACCCGGCGCAACAGUGCCUUCCACCUUUACAAAUCCUAUGUAAUUUUACAGGCGCUGCCCCUCAUGCUAUGGGGCAGUUAGUCCUGGUUUCGCCCUUCUUUGGGCUCUAGCUACCCCGGUUUAAAAUCACCUUUAGGAUAGCCAGUUCCUCCUGCCUCCGAGUCUCCUCUGAUUCAUGGGGCUCUGCAGGAACUGUCCUCCAACACUGUGCUGAUGAACUUGAAUCUCAGAGGCUACUCAGUUUGAGGGCCCAGGGCAGACAGAACUGGUGUCUGCCCAAUUCUCAUCUCUCACCAGAUAAGGCAACCAUGCUGACUAGAACCCAGUCAUCUGUAAGAUCAUCUGCCUCAAUUCACUCGAAAAAAUAAUUCCCUACCACCCUUCCCACUCUUUUCUUCCAACAAAAGGUCUAGAUUUUUCUAGGGUAUUCUAAGGAGUUAGUAUUUAUGCCAAGCUGAAUGGGAGUUCCCAAAGUGCAUGCAUUCAUUCAUCCAUCCAUUCAUCAGAUGUCUGUAAAGCAUCACCUGGAAUAUGAAAUGGUUGUUAAGAGUCAACUGGAACCUAAUCUUGUACCCUCUGCUUAACUAAUCUCUCUGACCUUCACUUUUUUCAUCUGUAAAAUAGGGAUCCUAAUAGUACCUCCUUCUAGUUGUUGUAAGCAUUAAAUGAGCUAAAAUAAAUGUAAAGUGAUUGGCACAUUGUCAGACACAAUAAAUGCUCAAAAAUGUUAUUUCUGAAUUCUGGCUAUAACUUGGUUCUACUGGUGAGGCAGGUAGCUGUCAAAUAAGUUGGUUUUAUCAGCUGGGAAUUUUUAUUUUUUAAAAACACCCAAAGUUGCAACAACUUGAAAAUAAUAUAAGCUUUUUAAGGGUGGGGUUUUUGUCUGCUCUGUUCACUCAAGUACCCUUAGUAAUGGGAAAAGUGACUGAUAAUUAAUAUGCAUUGGAUAAUUCAAUGAAUGACAUGGAAAACUAGGCAACAGUAAAACAAAUAUGCUUUGAACAUGCACCUGAGUGUAGAGAAUGUUAAGG
rnacentral:lncRNA from 10 species